GCCUGGCUGGCUCAGUUGGAAGAGUGUGAGACUCUUGAUCCUCGGGUUGUGAGUUUAAGCCCCACGUUGGGUG
rnacentral:tRNA from 1 species